UUCCGGUUGAUCCUGCCGGAGGUCACUGCUAUCGGUGUUCGACUAAGCCAUGCGAGUCAAAUGUUCUUCGUGAACACGGCGUACUGCUCAGUAACACGUGGAUAACCUGCCCUUAGGUCUGGCAUAACCCCGGGAAACUGGGGAUAAUUCCGGAUAGAUCAUGGAUGCUGGAAUGCACCGUGGUCGAAAGCUUUUGUGCCUAAGGAUGGGUCUGCGGUCUAUCAGGUUGUAGUGGGUGUAACGUACCUACUAGCCUACGACGGAUACGGGUUGUGGGAGCAAGAGCCCGGAGAUGGAUUCUGAGACAUGAAUCCAGGCCCUACGGGGCGCAGCAGGCGCGAAAACUUUACAAUGCGGGAAACCGCGAUAAGGGGACACCGAGUGCCAGCAUCCUAUGUUGGCUGUCCAUAUGUAUAAAUAACAUGUGUUAGCAAGGGCCGGGCAAGACCGGUGCCAGCCGCCGCGGUAACACCGGCGGCCCGAGUGGUGGCCACUAUUAUUGGGUCUAAGGGGUCCGUAGCCGGUUUGGUCAGUCUUCCGGGAAAUCUGACGGCUUAACCGUUAGGCUUUCGGGGGAUACUGCCAGGCUUGGGACCGGGAGAGGUAAGAGGUACUACGGGGGUAGGAGUGAAAUCUUGUAAUCCCUGUGGGACCACCAGUGGCGAAGGCGUCUUACCAGAACGGGUCCGACGGUGAGGGACGAAAGCUGGGGGCACGAACCGGAUUAGAUACCCGGGUAGUCCCAGCCGUAAACUAUGCUCGCUAGGUGUCAGGGACGGUGCGACCGUUUCUGGUGCCGUAGGGAAGCCGUGAAGCGAGCCACCUGGGAAGUACGGUCGCAAGGCUGAAACUUAAAGGAAUUGGCGGGGGAGCACUACAACGGGUGGAGCCUGCGGUUUAAUUGG
rnacentral:rRNA from 1 species